GACGUAGGGAGCGAGCGUUGUCCGGAUUCAUUGGGCGUAAAGAGCGCGCAGGCGGUUUGGUAAGUCGGAUGUGAAAACCCGGGGCUCAACCCCGGGCGUGCAUCUCGAUACUGCCCGACUAGAGGUAGGUAGGGGAGAGUCGGAAUUCCUGGUGUAGCGGUGAAAUGCGCAGAUAUCAGGAGGAACACCGGUGGCGAAGGCGGAUCUCUGGGCCUUACCUGACGCUCAGGCGCGAAAGCUAGGGGAGCGAACAGG
rnacentral:rRNA from 1 species